rnacentral:rRNA from 1 species
UACAGAGGGUGCAAGCGUUAAUCGGAAUUACUGGGCGUAAAGCGCGCGUAGGUGGUUUGUUAAGUUGGAUGUGAAAGCCCCGGGCUCAACCUGGGAACUGCAUCCAAAACUGGCAAGCUAGAGUACGGUAGAGGGUGGUGGAAUUUCCUGUGUAGCGGUGAAAUGCGUAGAUAUAGGAAGGAACACCAGUGGCGAAGGCGACCACCUGGACUGAUACUGACACUGAGGCACGAAAGCGUGGGGAGCAAACAGG